rnacentral:rRNA from 1 species
AUACGUAGGUGGCAAGCGUUGUCCGGAAUUACUGGGUGUAAAGGGAGCGCAGGCGGGCGUGCAAGUCAGCUGUGAAAUCCAUGGGCUUAACCCGUGGGCUGCAGUUGAAACUGUAUGUCUUGAGUGAAGUAGAGGUAGGCGGAAUUCCGAGUGUAGCGGUAAAAUGCGUAGAUAUUCGGAGGAACACCGGUGGCGAAGGCGGCCUACUGGGCUUUAACUGACGCUGAGGCUCGAAAGUGUGGGGAGCAAACAGGAUUAGAUACCCUGGUAGUCCACACUGUAAACGAUGAUUGCUAGGUGUGGGGGGUCUGACCCCUUCCGUGCCGCAGUUAACGCAAUAAGCAAUCCACCUGGGGAGUACGGCCGCAAGGCUAAA